UACGUAGGGUGCAAGCGUUGUCCGGAAUUAUUGGGCGUAAAGAGCUCGUAGGCGGUCUGUCGCGUCUGCUGUGAAAACUCAGGGCUUAACCCUGAGCUUGCAGUGGGUACGGGCAGACUAGAGUGCGGUAGGGGAGACUGGAAUUCCUGGUGUAGCGGUGAAAUGCGCAGAUAUCAGGAGGAACACCGGUGGGCGAAGGCGGGGUC
rnacentral:rRNA from 1 species